rnacentral:rRNA from 1 species
AUUGAACGCUGGCGGCAGGCCUAACACAUGCAAGUCGAGCGAGAGGCGUACGUGUGAGUAAGGUAUGGGAAUCGUCCUGAGGGAUGGGGAUAACUACUGGAAACUGUGGCUAAUACAGCAUAAAUUCGGCUGAACCCAGAUGUGAUUAGCGUGUAGGUGGGGUAAAGGCUGACCUAGGCGACGAUCUCUAGCUGGUCUGAGAGGAUGACCAGCCACACUGGAACUGAGACACGGACCAGACUCCUACGGGAGGCAGCAGUGGGGAAUAUUGCACAAUGGGCGCAAGCCUGAUGCAGCCAUGCCGCUUGUAUGAAGAAGGCCUUAGGGUUGUAAAGUACUUUCAGCGGGGAGGCGUUACCCGCAGAAGAAGCACCGGCUAACUCCGUGCCAGCCGCCGCGGUAAUAC